AGAGUUUGAUUAUGGCUCAGGAUGAACGCUGGCGGCGUGCUUAACACAUGCAAGUCGAACGAAGCAUUUGCGACAGAUUUCUUCGGAUUGAAGUUGCUUAUGACUGAGUGGCGGACGGGUGAGUAACGCGUGGGUAACCUGCCUCAUACAGGGGGAUAGCAGCUGGAAACGGCUGGUAAUACCGCAUAAGCGCACAGUACCACAUGGUACAGUGUGAAAAACUCCGGUGGUAUGAGAUGGACCCGCGUCUGAUUAGCUGGUUGGCGGGGUAACGGCCCACCAAGGCGACGAUCAGUAGCCGACCUGAGAGGGUGACCGGCCACAUUGGGACUGAGACACGGCCCAG
rnacentral:rRNA from 1 species